rnacentral:rRNA from 1 species
GAUCCUGGCUCAAUUGAACGCUGGCGGCAGGCCUAACACAUGCAAGUCGAGCGGUAGAGAGAAGCCUGCUUCUCUUGAGAGCGGCGGACGGGUGAGUAAUGCCUAGGAAUCUGCCUGGUAGUGGGGGAUAACGUUCGGAAACGGACGCUAAUACCGCAUACGUCCUACGGGAGAAAGCAGGGGACCUUCGGGCCUUGCGCUAUCAGAUGAGCCUAGGUCGGAUUAGCUAGUUGGUGAGGUAAUGGCUCACCAAGGCGACGAUCCGUAACUGGUCUGAGAGGAUGAUCAGUCACACUGGAACUGAGACACGGUCCAGACUCCUACGGGAGGCAGCAGUGGGGAAUAUUGGACAAUGGGCGAAAGCCUGAUCCAGCCAUGCCGCGUGUGUGAAGAAGGUCUUCGGAUUGUAAAGCACUUUAAGUUGGGAGGAAGGGUUGUAGAUUAAUACUCUGCAAUUUUGACGUUACCGACAGAAUAAGCACCGGCUAACUCUGUGCCAGCAGCCGCGGUAAUACAGAGGGUGCAAGCGUUAAUCGGAAUUACUGGGCGUAAAGCGCGCGUAGGUGGUUUGUUAAGUUGGAUGUGAAAGCCCCGGGCUCAACCUGGGAACUGCAUUCAAAACUGACAAGCUAGAGUAUGGUAGAGGGUGGUGGAAUUUCCUGUGUAGCGGUGAAAUGCGUAGAUAUAGGAAGGAACACCAGUGGCGAAGGCGACCACCUGGACUGAUACUGACACUGAGGUGCGAAAGCGUGGGGAGCAAACAGGAUUAGAUACCCUGGUAGUCCACGCCGUAAACGAUG